GCUCCGGCAUCUGUGGAAGAACCUCCUCCUGAAAAACCAUCUAAGAAACCUGUGACAAAAUCUACAGAAAAGAAAGGCAAAACUGCAAAGGAAGAGCCUCAGCCUCUAGAUCCUGUUGCUGAGAAACUUCGCCAACAAAGGUUAGUAGAAGAAGCUGAUUACAAAUCUACUACGGAACUGUUCGCUAAGAGAGGCGAUGAGAAGACACUAGAUAACUUCAUUCCCAAAUCUGAGAGUGACUUCUUGGAAUAUGCAGAACUUAUUUCACAUAAGCUUCGUCCAUAUGAGAAAAGUUUCCAUUAUAUUGGUUUACUCAAGGCAGUAAUGAGAUUGUCAAUGACUUCUUUAAAAGCAGCAGAUGCAAAAGAUGUUGCAUCUUCUGUAACUGCAAUUGCAAAUGAAAAGCUGAAGGCAGAGAAAGAAGCCAAUACUAAAAAGAAGACAGGUGGGAAGAAGAAACAGCUCCAUGUUGAUAAACCAGAUGAUGAUUUGGUGAUUGAUGCCUAUGAUGCUGUUGAUGACUAUGAUUUUAUGUGAUCUAUUUUGGAGAUAUUUUUGCUUUAGGUUU
rnacentral:misc_RNA from 1 species